CAGGUUUACCUGUGUGACUGCGUACCUUUUGUAUAAUGGGUCAGCGACUUAUAUUCUGUAGCAAGGUUAACCGAAUAGGGGAGCCGUAGGGAAACCGAGUCUUAACCGGGCGUUAAGUUGCAGGGUAUAGACCCGAAACCCGGUGAUCUAGCCAUGGGCAGGUUGAAGGUUGGGUAACACUAACUGGAGGACCGAACCGACUAAUGUUGAAAAAUUAGCGGAUGACCUGUGGCUGGGGGUGAAAGGCCAAUCAAACCGGGAGAUAGCUGGUUCUCCCCGAAAGCUAUUUAGGUAGCGCCUCGUGAAUUCAUCUCCGGGGGUAGAGCACUGUUUCGGCUAGGGGGCCAUCCCGGCUUACCAACCCGAUGCAAACUGCGAAUACCGGAGAAUGUUAUCACGGGAGACACACGGCGGGUGCUAACGUCCGUCGUGAAGAGGGAAACAACCCAGACCGCCAGCUAAGGUCCCAAAGUCAUGGUUAAGUGGGAAACGAUGUGGGAAGGCCCAGACAGCCAGGAUGUUGGCUUAGAAGCAGCCAUCAUUUAAAGAAAGCGUAAUAGCUCACUGGUCGAGUCGGCCUGCGCGGAAGAUGUAACGGGGCUAAACCAUGCACCGAAGCUGCGGCAGCGAACGUAUCACUUAAAGCGAUUCAGCGGGUUACGAUUGACGGAGCGAAGCGACGUCAAAGCGUAUACAAAGUCGAGUCGGUUUAAGGAUACGUU
rnacentral:rRNA from 1 species